rnacentral:rRNA from 1 species
ACUCCUACGGGAGGCAGCAGUGGGGAAUAUUGCACAAUGGGCGCAAGCCUGAUGCAGCCAUGCCGCGUGUGUGAAGAAGGCCUUCGGGUUGUAAAGCACUUUCAGUCGUGAGGAAGGUGAGUUGUUAGUUAAUAGCGCAUUAUUUGACGUUAGCGACAGAAGAAGCACCGGCUAACUCCGUGCCAGCAGCCGCGGUAAUACGGAGGGUGCGAGCGUUAAUCGGAAUUACUGGGCGUAAAGCGCAUGCAGGUGGUUUGUUAAGUCAGAUGUGAAAGCCCGGGGCUCAACCUCGGAA